rnacentral:rRNA from 1 species
UACAGAGGGGGCAAGCGUUAUUCGGAAUUACUGGGCGUAAAGGGCGCGUAGGCGGUACUUCAAGUCAGGCGUGAAAGCCCCGGGCUCAACCUGGGAACCGCGCUUGAGACUGGAGAACUAGAGUUCGGGAGAGGAUGGUGGAAUUCCCAGUGUAGAGGUGAAAUUCGUAGAUAUUGGGAAGAACACCGAUGGCGAAGGCAGCCAUCUGGACCGACACUGACGCUGAGGCGCGAAAGCGUGGGGAGCAAACAGG